AACCCAGUAUGUCUCUUACUGGUACUCUACUUUUAAAGUAUUGAGAGGCAGGGUGACUAUUUGAUCCUCUCCCUAACUCCAAGUGUCCUAGCUGGGAGAGAGGCUUUGCUGUAUGAUGUGCUAGUUUGAUCAGGCUGUUGUGACAAAAGACACAACAAUCCAAGAGGCUCACCAGCAACUAAAGCUUUAAUAAGUUUCUUUGGCGGGAAGUCCAAGACGAAGGCGCCAGCAAAUUUGGUGUCUACCGACAGCCUGCUUCCUGUUUCAUUGGUCUCAGGAUCCAUACCCAGCAUUUUGUCCCCUGCACUCUGUGCUACAGAGCCAAGGUCCACAUUGCCUGAUACAAGCGGAGUCAAUGCCGGCUGCUGCCACAACAUUCACUGUAGUGAUAUUCUCAGUGUCUUAAGACGGAGCUUCAUUCCUUAAUUUGAAACGUUCCAAGGCAUGGUCGGGUCCCUUUAAUGUGCCAUACAUGUGCGCUAUGGGCAGUUAGCAGAUAAAAAUGGACAAAGCACAAUUAUCUCCAGUGCGGAGAGAGAACAGAACUUUUCAGAGGUUUAAUGACAGCUGGAGCCAGAUAUGUGCCUGCAGACCUUUCCCCCUUUGGCUUCUCAAAGUACCAAGCACUUUAAAGUUAAUGGCACAGUUGCGGAUCAAAGGAAGACAUUUGUCAAGACUCACCAAGAAAGCGCUCCGUACCAUCAACAAGAGCAGAGCUGAUGUUGGGGUCUGGGCUUACCACUUUUCUGGUUAGAACUUAAAUCCUGUACUUGGGCAA